CCGAAGUCGGACGCUCAACCGACUGAGCCACCCAGGCGCCCCUGAGUGAUUUUCUUUUUUAGCAAAAACUAAUUUUUGAAGUCAAUUGAUCAAUGAAAAUAAUGAUCAUUAGUCCAAGUAUUGUUUUCAUUAGUUCUCUUUUACAUGAGUCCCAGUGAUUCCUUCUUUAAAAGUGUUCUAAGCCAACUUAAAUGGAUUCAUAAUCAUUAUAUUCUAAAUCACUAACUCAUUAAAUUCUAUAAUUUUGAAUCUGCUCAAGCUCCCUUAUUUUUCAAGAAGAGAGAUUGGGCCUCAAAGAAGUUAAGUUGCAUAUCCAAAGUCAUGUCCCAUAGUAAUGACCUAGUCAGGACCAGAAUCCAGGUCUCUUGAACUCUUGUUUUACCUAUAGCGUGUCUUCACUCGUAUGCUUUCUGGCCUCUUUUUCUUGUGCUAUUUUCCGAAUUCUUUUAUAUUUACAUUGAAAAAUAAAUUCUCAGAGGCCCAUUUGGAGUUUGCCAUGUGAAUACGAAGGUAUGCACCAACUUAAUGAAGUAGAAUUUUAAGUUACAAAGUUAUUCUAAUUCAUGAUAAAACUCAAAUUAGUACUGAUAGUUCUACAUUAUAUUCCCCAAUAUUGAAUCUCAAAUGUGUGGCUGUUACUUCUGUAGAAGUUCAUCUUUAUAGUUAAUCCCUCAUGUGGCUUUUAGAAGACGAGAAGCUCAUCUUGAAAGAGAAGAUGAAAGACGAGUCAAGUGUGCAGGAUGACUAAAAUCUGAAGAGUAUGGCAUAGUGUGUAUUGGGUUUUCAUUUUGUUUCCGAAUGUAUUUUCUGUCAAACUUCAUAAUAAAAUCUCAGCAAAGUCUGUUUGUCUUUUCUCUGUCAGUAUUUCCUGUGUAUGCAUUUCUUUCUCCAUAGAACUGUCUUUUCCUUACAUUGGAAGAAUGUAAAAUGAUCUUCUAGAAGUAACUUCCUGUUUGGUUCAUAACAUAAAAUCAGUCCAAGCUAAAGUUAAAUUAGUGAAAUAAUUUCAAACGUCAUCUUUUUGAUGAAUAGGCCCGUAUUUAAUUUGCGCUCUUUUUCUCUUUAUUUCAUUUGUGAGAAAAUUCUGCUGCUUUCUGUAGAAGUAAAAUUCCAGUGACAGUUUGUUUAUUCAUUUAUUUACUCAUUCAUCACCAUGUUCAUUGACCAAACAUUAAGUGCUAUACACAGAGACAGUAUUUUGCAAGAUAGAUUUUAUUUCCAGACUCAUGGAAUUUAGAUUUCAACAUGGGAGAUAGACAUUGAUAUUAUUAGGUCUGUUGGCUAUUAAAAUAAUGUGUGAUAAGUGGUGAGAAUCUCUACUUCUUGGUCCUCCUUUUUCCCUUGGCUUCUUUGCCAUAUCCUAUAAGUUGAGUUUUAGUUUCUUUAUUGUUACGGGGUUUUUUUAUUUAAUUUGCAUACAUUUCAACAUUUUGCUUGAAAAGAGUGGUUUCCACUCAUAGGAGAGCAGAGACUCAGGUUUAUAGCCUGCCAAGACACAGCUCUGAUACCAGUUUUCUUCAGAUUGAAGAAACUUUAUUGUCAUUCCUAUCAUUUCUUCUGUGGACAAAAGUAUAGAAAAAGAGAUCUGGUUUAUACUCUCCAGUGACAAAAGAUUUCAAAGCAAGGAAGAUAUUGGGUAUAAAGAGCAAAAGUUGAAGAAUGCACAGUUGAACAUGAGAGGAGCAGACAACUUGUCUUCCAAGAACUCAUUCAAAUUAUGUCUUCAGUUUGAAAGCUGCGAUGGAAGUUCAGUAACUUCAAAGCAUGCGUGGAAGUUUCUGUAUACACGCAGUGAAAUCAGCUGACAAGGUAACUGGGUUGGCAAGUGCUUCUGAGACCCCUGAGAAGUAAAAAUGUGAUCAUCAAAAAAUCCUAGAUAGUCUGUGACUGCUUCAUCCACAGAAUGAUCCCAGGGUACAGAGUGUCGGCCGGGUGGCCUGACUAGAGGUUCUUCGGAUUGGAUCUGCUGCUUGUGGACCUGCCAUCAAGGAGGUUGACUAAACAGACCUGAAAACAAGUAUAUUUCCCGGAAGUCACAAAAAUUCAAAGAUAAAAACAUUUGGCCUAAAUUUCAACAUUAGACCUUAGGUUUGGGACUUCGCCUUCCACAACUGUAAAGCUAGUCAGACUGGAUGAUGAGCUCUUCUUUCUAGGCGUUGAGCAAUAGGCAGCGUAGGGCUGCCACCCUUGAAAGAAGGGGAAGUAUGAAGCAAGCCCCACAACCUCUCCAGGUUUCUGCCGUGGAACACUUGCCUGUUGCAGUGCAGGGUGGGUAGAAUUCAGGCUAAGGUGCAGUCCCAUCCAGCUAGGGAGGCAGAGGUUAGAGUUCUGGGCUGCUAACAUGGCUGCAGUGUGUGAGUUAGUGUGCUAGAGAGGAAGGAACCGCACAGAGGGAGACUCCUAGAGGUCUGUGUGCGGGUUCACCUCCAGUUCAGCUCCAGGCUAACACUGUACCUGAGCUAGACCGUACGUCACAAGGCCUAGCACCAGCCACCUGCUCUAAGGCUGAGAGCUGACAGGGAUACCGGCAGUCACCCAGUUCUGGGAGUUGUUGACAUUAGACCCUGCUGAGCACCUUGGUGAUUCUCUUGAUAUCCCGACAAGGCCCUCCAUAAGAGUAAGGAUCACUUCUUAGCAUAAAAGCCAUAUCCUAGAACUAAGUUCAAACUGAAAUAGACCUGCUCUAACAAAGAAUAAAGUGAAGCCUGAUCAAACCAAAGGAUUCUCCAGUAGUUUAAUGGCAAGGUGUAGAGCAAAGCUCACCACCUGUGAAGAUGGAUGACACAAUACAGACUCCCUUCAACAUAUUAUCCACUCUGUCCAGCAUUCAAUCAAUGAGAAGUUCCUGGGCAUGUGAAAUAAAGAUUCAAAGUCAAAAGUAGGAAAUUGUGACCCAUAAUAAAGAAGUUGGGGCAUCUGGGUGGCUCUGUUAGUUGCACACCUGACUCUUGAUUUUGGCUCAGGUGAUGAUCUCAUGUUUCAUGCAUUCAAGCCCUACAAGACCUCCGCUCUGACAGCAUGGAGCCUUUGGAUUCUCUCUUGCCCUCUCUGUCUCUGUCCCUCCCCUGCUCUCUCAAAAAUGGAAAGAAAGAAAGAAAGAAAGAAAGAGAGAGAGAGAGAGAGAGAAAGAAAGGAAGGAAGAAAGAAAGCAAAGAAGAAAUUAGAAACAGACUUCAAGAUGAACUAGAUGCACAAAUUAGCAGCUAUGGAUUUUUAAAGCAGCUGCUAAAGUAUGUUUUAAUAUUGAGAAGAAAAAAAAUGUCCAUAAAGAGUGAACAGAGAGAAUAUCAGCAGAGAAAAUAACAACUUUAUAAUGAAUAAAAUGAAGUCUAGUACUGUAAAGUUCGAUAUCUGAUGCAUAAAAUUACCUGGAUGAGUUCAGUAUCACUGGAUAGAGACUGUAGAAGAAAGGCUAUGGAACCUGAUGACAAAUACAAACACAGUGUGCAAUGCUGAAGAUUUAAAUCCCUUCCCCCUCCUUUUGCUCUUCCCCUUGCCAAAAGAUAGACAAGUUACAUUAAAAGGUAGGCGAUAAUCUGGCUUUAGAUUUCUUAGCUAUGUAGCUACAUGCAAAGCUGUAAGAAAAUGGAGCAACUUGAGUUUUGAGGAGGUAGAGUUGUGAAUUGGGAUUUUCUCUGAUUCAUGUUUUUUAACAAGUUUGUAAAAGAUUAUGUUUAUAUGCCUUUCUUUUAAACUUAAAAAAAAAAGCUGCUACUUAAAGACAUACUUUAGAAGACCUUGGGAUGUGGAGACAGUUGUACUAGAAAUGAUUGUCCUUUAUGGAACUCUCUUCUAAGGAAAUAAUCAAAAUAUGUGCAAAUAUUUUUGUACAUUUUUGCCAUAUGUAUUGGAAAAUACCUUAUUGUUGAGUAAGUGUUCAUAUAAGUAAAUAUGCAACCAUUAAAAUAUACUAACAACUGAUGUAAGGAAAUGCUUUUUUUAAUAGUGAGGAAAAAAGCAAGAUACAGAUUUGUAUACUAAAUAAAAAUUUAUAUUAAGUGGCAGGAAAUAUGGAAAAUUUUGUCUCUUGAUUGUGGGAAUUCAUGAUGGCCUUAUUUUUCUGUUUGUAUAUUUUCCAAAAUUUCUGUAAAGAACACAUAAUUCAAACCUUAAAAAAUUAGAUCCGUGUGUAUAGGGGGACAGUUAGAAGAGAUUAAUCUGAUAAUGCCUGUGAAUCUAUUAAUUGAGACUUUUUCAUCUAAAAAUUCUAAUUAUAAACAUGGAAGAAAGAAUGUAACCUUUAAAAUAUUUUGGGAAGGUGCUCACUUUAGCACCACAUGUUACUAAAAUUGGAGCAACACAGAGAAGAUAAGCACGGCCCCCUGCACAGGGAUGACACACAAAUUUAUGAAGCUUCCAUGUUUUAAAAAAUAAUAAUAGAAUAUUUUGGGGAAAGAUAAAAAAACAUUGUCCCAAGUGAAAGAUGACUUACACGAGAGUUUAUGCCAUGAUAUCAUGCAUAUGAAAUUCUAGACUAGGCAAAACUGAUCAGUGGUGGGGAAAACACGUCAGAGCAAUGGUUAUUUCUAGGGACAAGGACAGGAAUUGAUUGGGAAGAAUAUGCACGGUCUUUCUUGGAUCAUGAUGAAUUUCUAUAUCUUGUUAAGGAUUUGAGUUAUGUAGGUGUGUACAUUGUCAAAACUCAAUAUAUAUUUAAGAUCUAUUCAUUUGUAUGUAAAUUUUACAUAACAAAAAUACCGCCAACAAAAAGGUGGGGAACAAAUAGUUUUGUGAAAAUGUACAAAGUCUACUCCUUGCUGGCUUUAUCCUCAUAUCCUAUGGUCUUAGAUAAGUAUUCCAGAGUAAUAAGAUAGUUAUAAAUUCAAUGUACUCUAGUUAGCACCUCGUGCUUGCUUCUCUUAAUACUUGCUACAUUGCACUGGACUUAUUUCAUACCUCGAAUGGACUGUGAACUCUUGGAGGGCAGGAAAUCCCUGCCUUCUGGCACAUAGCUGGCGUGUGCCCAAUAAAUAUUUAAUAGGUUAAUAAGUAAGUAUCCCUCGGCCCUUGUUCCCACCUCUUACCUGUAACAAAAAUGUUUCUCUAUUCUAUUCGUUACAAUUAUUAGUUCUGUAUCUUUUUUUUUAUAAUAUUAAUUGGUAAGUGGAAUUAACAAAAUAGCAAAGUUAAUCUUUUAACAUUUGUUAUUUCAAGUUGUUUGUUCAAGGGGCUUGCUUAAAAUUGUACCAAAAUGUUACAGUAGUGUGGCUUAAAUACCUGUCUUUGAAAACUAUGAUUGAGUUUGUGGUCAGGUUGUGGGUCUCCAGUUGCAAAGUGUUUUAGGAGGAAAUAUUAGACACUAUAAUUAAAUCAUUUUGUGACAUUUAUAGUAAAGUUACUACAGUAAAAAAAAAAAAAAA